UGUGUCCUAGGCAACAUGUUGUUGUUUGGUUCUGUUCUUUGCAUAGGAAACCUGAUAUGCAUAUCAAAGCUACAAUUAAUAGUGUAAUGACAAAAUUGAAGAAGACCUUGUCUCCUGAAACUAAGGCAGUUGCACCAAAGUGGAUUGAAGUAAAGAGUCACGUUCAAACCGGCUGUUAUGAAUGUGGAUAUUACAUAAUGCAUUGGAUCUGGAACAUCAUAGCCAGCGACAUAAAGAGUGAUUGGUCCAUGUGGUUUGCUAAUGACACACCGUUGGACAUCGGCAUCAUCACCACAAUUCGAAAGAAAUGGGCAACAUUUUUUUUAAAGACAGCAAUAAGUCAAAACGGCUAAUGAUGGCGUUGGAGUAUUUUUUUCCCUGUAUUUGAGACAAUUGUUAUGUUAUUUGACACAGCGGCUAUUUUAUUUUCGGUCAUGCUACUAAUAUUCUAUUCUUAGUAUUACCUACUCAAUUUCAUAUAAUUGUAGUAAUAUAUUGUCUUUACCCCCUUCUACUGCAUUGCAUCUGCAUUUGAUUACCACAGCAACAAUUUAGUGCAGCUAUAGUACCACCAAGCUUGCCACUGCAGCAGUUAAGUGAACAAAUGAAGUGUCCACAGUCAUUGGAUGGUUGCUUGGUAGAGGUACAUGCUAAUAACUAAUAAGAUUUCCUGUGCAGGGUAUCAUUGUUUUUGCAUGACUGAUGGCUACCUUGGGGCUGGAGAUUUUGGUUGAAUCUGCCUCAAGUGUUAUUUUGAAGAUGAUAUUAUCAUUUGACCUUGCUUUUGCUUUGAUUCCGCUCCUAAAGUUCAGUAGCAGCAAAGUGACUAGCAGCACAAGCAUUGAAGAGAGAUUGCAGGGAUUCCAAGGGAAGGGGACCAGGGGAUGAAAAAUAUGAUUAAAGAGAGUUCUUGAGGAGUUUGUCACAUGCUCAGGGAAGUGGAAGAUUUUGCACGAAGGUUAAAUUCUGCUUGGCCUGAAAGGAUGCAAAUUUGAUCUUUGGCCCAACACAGAAGACUAGUAACAAUUUCUAUGAAUAGCAAUGGUUCAACGCAGCUGUAUAUAGGUAUGUUCUAUCUAUCUUCUCAAUAUUCGCGGUGAACCCUACUUGCUGCCUUGUUUUCUAUCAGAAGCAUCAUUAAAUUUUGUUGACAUGCACAUGACUGGAAUCAACUAGUUAUAAGUUACUUCAUCACUCUCAUGCAUUUCAUUCAUCACAUACAACACUCUCUCCAAAGUUCAAAUUAAGACUGAGGGGUGAGAAAGAGACAAUUAAUAUGGGUGCCGGUCUACUUGCAAUUGGUUCUUGUGCAAUUGGUCUAUGCAGUGAUGAACAUUACUUAAAUGCUUGCAAUAGAAUCUGGAAUGAGCCCUCUUGUCCUUGUUGCUUAUCGACAACUCUUUGCUACUGUGUCCAUUGCUCCCUUUGCUUAUUGGCUCGAGUGGUAAUUAUAUAUAUAUAUACCCUUUCUGGUUUUGUUUUAUUUUCAUAUAUAUAAACAAUGCAUGCAUGAAAGGCUUUGAUGAACUUUGAACCACCUAUAACAUUCUCACUGUGAGUGUCACCGUCGAUAUCCCUUUUCUUUUGGUUGAUGCAUGAUUGUGUUAUUUAUCCUUUAAAUGUAUUUAUAUAUGUUUGCUGUAUAUAAAUGUAGCUUUGUUUUUGAAAUUUGAAUGGUAUAACCCAAAUUUUGUGAGCAGGCAAAAUACUUCA